rnacentral:rRNA from 1 species
AGUGAACGCUGGCGGCGUGCCUAAUACAUGCAAGUCGAACGAAGUGGCGCACGGGUGAGUAAUAUAUAUUUAUUCUGCACUACACAGAGGAACAACAGUUGGAAACGACUGCUAAUACCUCAUAGUGUAGGAUGAGACUAUAUCGCAUCAGCUAGUUGGUAAGGUAAUGGCUUACCAAGGCUAUGACGCGUAACUGGUAUGAGAGUAUGAUCAGUCACAUUGGAAGUGAGCCACGGUCCAAAAUCUGACGGGAGGGCGCAGUAAGUGAUAUUGCGCAAUGGGGGAAAUCCUGACGGAGCAACGCCGCGUGGAGGAUGACACUUUUCGGAGCGUAAACUCCUUUUAUCAGGAAAGCGGUACCUGAUGAAUAAGCAACGGCUAACUCCGUGCCAGCAGCCGCGGUAAUAC